rnacentral:rRNA from 1 species
GUGGGGAAUAUUGGACAAUGGGCGGAAGCCUGAUCCAGCCAUGCCGCGUGUGUGAAGAAGGCCUUUUGGUUGUAAAGCACUUUAAGCGAGGAGGAGGCUCCUUUAGUUAAUACCUAAAGUGAGUGGACGUUACUCGCAGAAUAAGCACCGGCUAACUCUGUGCCAGCAGCCGCGGUAAUACAGAGGGUGCGAGCGUUAAUCGGAUUUACUGGGCGUAAAGCGUGCGUAGGCGGCUUUCUAAGUCGGAUGUGAAAUCCCUGAGCUUAACUUAGGAAUUGCAUUCGAUACUGGAAAGCUAGAGUAUGGGAGAGGAUGGUAGAAUUCCAGGUGUAGCGGUGAAAUGCGUAGAGAUCUGGAGGAAUACCGAUGGCGAAGGCAGCCAUCUGGCCUAAUACUGACGCUGAGGUACGAAAGCAUGGGGAGCAAACAGGAUUAGAAACCCUUGUAGUCC